AUGAUUAUGAUAGGGUUUUGGGAAUUGAAUUAGUAUUAGCAUUAGUUGGUUCAUGAUUCCAAAUGCAUUUCUUCACAUACAGGCUCAGAGGUUCUAAGCAAACUACCAUCAUGCCAAAUUCCCAGUUCUAUCAUGUCAAAUUCCUAUUUCCUAGUUUAAUCCAUUAAUUGCAAGUAUUUGCAUCUAUCUAAGGUAUGAAUUUAGGUAGAAGAAGAUGCAGAUUGUUAUUAAUUGUUGUUCUCCUCUAAUUUGGAUUUAGGUACAAGAAGCUGCACAUUGUUAUUCAUUGUUGUUCUCC